GGACACGGACAGGAUUGACAGAUUGAGAGCUCUUUCUUGAUUCCGUGGGUGGUGGUGCAUGGCUGUUCUCAGUUGGUGGAGCAGCUGUGUGGUGUUUGGCUGCCUGCCGGGUUAAACCGUGACAAUCCCCCUCGAGUUUCUUGUUAAAUCGGGAAAGUGUGACUGUCCAGCAGGGCUUUUCUGUUGAAACCUUUACAGCUCCCAUAGCUUUAACUCCUCUGGCUGUUAAGUUUGUGAUGUUUGCAUCCUUGUGUUGUCCUCAGUU
rnacentral:ncRNA from 1 species